GCUGGUGAACAUAGUGAGGAGGCCACACCCGUUCCCAUCCCGAACACGGUAGUUAAGCUCCUCACGCCGAUGGUAUUGCCUUUGGUGAGAGAGUAGGUCAUUGCCAGCU
rnacentral:rRNA from 1 species